AACGGCCGUACCAUGCUGAAUAUACCGGUUCUCGUUAGAUCACCGAAGUCAAGCAUCAUUGAGCGCGGUCAGUAUUUGGGUGGGUGACCACCUGGGAACACUGCGUGCCGUU
rnacentral:rRNA from 1 species